GCCUACCCACCCAAAAAAAUAGAUCGUAAGUCUUCUCAAUUUUUUUUAUUGAAUAUCAUAACAAAUUCAAUAGUUUAUAUCUUAUAUGUAUAUAAUAACUAUUUGUUGAAUACUUUAUAUCUUAGGAAUGAUAGCAGAGUUUGGGUGACUAGUUGGAUGAGAGAAUGUACUUUACGAGAUGACUUCAAUAUUCAGAUUAACGACUUUACACGAAUAAGACUUGCCGUGGAUUUGGUUUUAGAGGAGUACAACAAUUUAUGUCUCGUAAUCCAAGAGAAUGCUUGGAAAUAUAGGAGCACGGUGGAAGCAGAGCAUGAAGAUAUUUGGGAGUGAGGAAUUAUCUUUUUGGAUAUUUUUGCUAUUUUCUUUGAAAGACAAAUUACUAAGCUAUUUUUCAUGAGUUUAUACA